rnacentral:rRNA from 1 species
AUGGACGGCCCGGCGAGGCCACUCUCAAGCGCGGUGCUCGCGCCCGCAGUACCCAUCGGCGUCGAGCGGCGACCGCUCUUCUGGUGCGGCGCCCUACAGCAGGCGGCGCUCGGCGCAGCAACCACCGGCCGAGUAUCCUCUCAGGCGACACAGCGACCGCGGCGGUCUCCGGCGCACCGGUUACUCCCAGCAGCGCGUCGGAGAUGUCUCCCGGCCCGGACAGGAUGGCAGCAAACGCGACGUGUUCCGGAGAUGCGGCGGUGGCCAUCGACCGGCGCGCGGCAGCACGGUCCUCGGCCUGGGCGGAGGCAGCCCACGAGGCACAAGACGCGGCGGCGCAACCACCGGUCUGCCCGCAGCCUCGCAUGA